CGAGCAGUCGCGUCGCUGCUUUAAGGAACCUACGCGGAGGCUGGAGGCGAUGCAUGUCGACGGUGAGGCUCCAGUUUUGGUGCGGCGUCGACUGGUGGAGGCGAUGUGGUGAGGUGGUGGCCGGAGCUGGAGUCUCCGGUGAUGGCAGAGAGCGAAGAUGAGAAAGAGAGGUCGGGCUUGGGUCGAAUUUGGGUGCUGGAUCGAUUGGUGGUGGUGGUUUUGUGAGAUGGACGCCGGAAACUGUGUUUUCUGCAAUGGCAGAGAGGGAGGACGAGAGAGUGAGAGGUCGGGGAGAGGGUGGACGCGGC
rnacentral:lncRNA from 1 species